UACGAAGGGGGGCUAGCGUUGCUCGGAAUCACUGGGCGUAAAGCGCACGUAGGCGGCUUUCUAAGUCAGGGGUGAAAUCCUGGAGCUCAACUCCAGAACUGCCUUUGAUACUGGAGAGCUUGAGUCCGGAAGAGGUGAGUGGAACUCCGAGUGUAGAGGUGAAAUUCGUAGAUAUUCGGAAGAACACCAGUGGCGAAGGCGGCUCACUGGUCCGGUACUGACGCUGAGGCACGAAAGCGUGGGGAGCAAACAGG
rnacentral:rRNA from 1 species